rnacentral:lncRNA from 15 species
ACUAAAUCUCUAACUCAUCGUGUGCAUACCAUCGACUGUGUAUAAAGACGACUAAUCAGCAACCUGCAGUUCCUCUAAUGUCCACUAGAGGCUGGCUCCAGCAGUGAGUCAGUCUCAACAAGCCCUUAUAUUAAAAUGUCCACCUUUACAGAAACAGAACAUGUUCACAGAUCCAACUGGCUGGCUAAUCAAUGUAGAGUUUUACACUAGCCAGGGGUCCUCUUUGUUGCUGGUGGAGUUUUGGUCGAGCUUUGUAUCAGAAUGCUAAGCUAACAGCUAAAGUAGAAGUUCUGUCAUCCUCAUACGCAGUCGGUGGGAUGAACCGCGUCAGUUCAGGCUGUUUCUUUAACAUAAUAAUGUAACUUUGAGCUGAACUUUGGCUGUUAAUGAUUGAUUAUUGAUUGAUUAUUGAUCUCAGUGGAGCAGUUGAUUUUCACAGACAUGAACUGAACGUCAGUCUGGAAGAAAUGAAAUGGAGAUCAGUCUCACAGUGGGAGAGCAGUUAUUGAUCACUACCGAUCAGCUGAUAGACCCCUCCCUCCUCUUGAGUUGAGUGUGAUAGUUAUUUUUAUAAACUCAGCGAAGCCAACCUUUUUCUAUGUACAUAUAAAGUUGUAUUUUUUUAACUGUACCUGAAUGCUUCACCGUGACGACGACGAUGAUGAUGAUGAUGAUGAUGAUGAUGAUGAUGAUGAUAGCUGCCUGCAUUGGUAAUCUGAAAUAUAAACACUUGUUUUUUGAAUAACAACUUUGUUGUGUAUUUGAUGCUUUCGCACAGUGACACCUGAACUCAGCGUGAGUCAGUUAAAAUUAUCUUAUUGAUAAAAUAAGCCCCGCCCCUUUUGGAACCAACUUCCUGUACCUAGAUAUGCUAUGUGCUAGGCUAAUCUAUUAAUCUACGUUAGAUAUGAUUAGUCACAUCUUUAGUUGGUUUAUGAUUCAUGUUGAUUACCAGUAUCUGGUGUAACGAGCUAGUUUACAAUGCAGAUUAUGUAUUUUACAGUUGAUGCAGAUUAUGUAUUUUACAGUUGAUGCAGAUUAUGUAUUUUACAGUUGAUGCAGAUUAUGUAGCUAACAGUUGAUGUAGAUUAUGUAGCUAACAGUUAAUGUAGAUUAUGUAGCUAACAGUUGAUGUAGAUUAUGUAGCUAACAGUUGAUGCAGAUUAUGUAUUUUACAGUUGAUGUAGAUUAUGUAGCUAACAGUUGAUGCAGAUUAUGUAGCUAACAGUUGAUGUAGAUUAUGUAGCUAACAGUUGAUGCAGAUUAUGUAUUUUACAGUUGAUGCAGAUUAUGUAUUUUACAGUUGAUGCAGAUUAUGUAUUUUACAGUUGAUGUAGAUUAUGUAGCUAACAGUUGAUGUAGAUUAUGUAGCUAACAGUUGAUGCAGAUUAUGUAGCUAACAGUUGAUGUAGAUUAUGUAUUUUACAGUUGAUGCAGAUUAUGUAGCUAACAGUUGAUGCAGAUUAUGUAUUUUACAGUUGAUGCAGAUUAUGUAUUUUACAGUUGAUGCAGAUUAUGUAUUUUACAGUUGAUGCAGAUUAUGUAUUUUACAGUUGAUGUAGAUUAUGUAGCUAACAGUUGAUGCAGAUUAUGUAGCUAACAGUUGAUGUAGAUUAUGUAUUUUACAGUUGAUG